CGGCACCUCAAGUGGUCAGGAUGAUUAUUGGGCCUAAAGCAUCCGUAGCCGGCUCUGUAAGUUUUCGGUUAAAUCUGUACGCUCAACGUACAGGCUGCCGGGAAUACUGCAGAGCUAGGGAGUGGGAGAGGUAGACGGUACUCGGUAGGAAGGGGUAAAAUCCUUUGAUCUAUUGAUGACCACCUGUGGCGAAGGCGGUCUACCAGAACACGUCCGACGGUGAGGGAUGAAAGCUGGGGGAGCAAACCGGAUUAGAGACCCGAGUAGUCC
rnacentral:rRNA from 1 species